rnacentral:lncRNA from 1 species
AGAGAGGCUGCUACAAGAACCUGAUGCUGCUUAAUGGUAAUGGAGGUAGAACAGAAAUGCUGGGGGAUGCCACACAUACAGAGAUGCUGAUCUACUUGCAGCUAAUCAGACAGCUUCCUCAUGCUUCUCAAGACUGAGAGACCCUCACUGUUCUUCAAGCCAGAGUCUCCUCCUUCUCCGGAUUCCACUCCUGGGGCCCCUCCCCUAUCAAGUGGAUCAUGGCCAGAUAUGAAGAGGAAAUGGAUCACAUUUUUGGACAAGAUAUACACAAAAGAGCCAUUACAUAGGGCCAACGAUAAACCAAUCCAGGAUGGAUUGAUGCACUUCCAAGCCAAUACAAAGGACUUGACCCUAGUGUGA